rnacentral:tRNA from 1 species
GGGCGUGUAGCUCAGCUGGUCAGAGCGUUCGUCUUAUACACGAAUGGUCCCUGGUUCGAAUCCAGGCACGCCCA